AAGGGAAGGGGGGUGUGUGGGGGGGCCCUGGAUGACGUCAUGGGGGUGGGAGGGGUCGCCAGUGGGUUCUGGAGUUUAUCUGGGGUCCGCAGUGGGUUCUAGAGCAGGCGAAGUGGGGUUGGGGGCCGUCCGUGGGUUCUAGAGCAAACGGUGCGGGGGGGGGGGUGUCAGGGGGUUCCGGAGUUAGUGGGGAACGCUUGGGGUUCUCUGUGGGUUCUAGAGCUAACAAGGCGGGUUUGCAGUAACCAGUGGGUUCUAGGCUUAGUGGGGAAUGUUUGGGGUCUUCAGUGGGUUCUAGAGUUAAUUUGGGGUUCUCAGUGGGCUCUAGAGCUAGCAAAGUGGGCUUGCGGUCGUUAAUGGGUUCCAGAGUUGAUGGGGAACGUUUGGGGUUGUCUGUGGGUGCUGGAGUUAAUGGGUAAAUGUUGGGGUCAUCAGUGGGUUCUAGGUCUAACAAGGUGGGUUUGGGGUCGUCAGUGGGUUCUGGAGUUAAUGGGGAAAGCUUGGGGUAGUCAGUGGGUUCUAGGUCUAACAAAGUGGGUUUGGGGUUGUCAGUGGGCUCUGGAGUUAAUUUGGGGUUCUCAGUGGGUUCUAGGUCUAACAAAGUGGGUUUGGGGUCGUCAGUGGGUUCUGGAGUUAAUGGGGAAAGCUUAGGGUCGUCAGUGGGUUCUGGAGUUAAUGGGGAAAUCUUGGGGUCAUCUGUGGGUUUUGGAGUUAAUUUGGGCUCGUCAGCGGGUUCUAGAUCUAACAAAGCGGGCUUGGGGUCGUUAGCGGGUUCCAGAGUUAAUGGGGAACGUUUGGGGUUGUCUGUGGGUGCUGGAGGCAAUGGGGAAAUGUUGGGGUCAUCAGUGGGUUCUAGGUCUAACAAGGUGGGUUUGGGGUCGUCAGUGGGUUCUGGAGUUAAUUUGGGCUCGUCAGCGGGUUCUAGAUCUAACAAAGCGGGCUUGGGGCCAUCAGUGGGUUCUAGACUUCAUGGGGGAUGUUUAGGCUCUUCGGUAGGUUCUGCAGUUAAUUUGGGGUGCUCAGUGGGUUCUAGAGCUGACAGAGCAAAUUUGGGGUUGUCACUGGGUUCUGCACGUAACAAAGGGGCAA
rnacentral:lncRNA from 1 species